CGUGAUCCACCUGUUGCGGGCAGAUAAAGUGAAUGUGUGUAUCAAUACCACCUGCGGUAGCAAUGAGGUUAGCGCCGUUAUGUACUUCGGUAGAUGCACCGAUGAUGAGCUGCGGAUGUACACCGUCCAUUGUAUCGGGGUUACCGGCCUGCCCUACGGCAACAAUCUUACCGUCUUUAAUCCCUAUAUCUCCCUUCACAAUACCCCAGUGGUCAAUGAUGAUCACGUUGGUGAUCACAAAAUCGAGCACGCCUUCGCUGCGCAGUGCAGUGGCCGAUUGCGCCAUGCCGUCUCUCACG
rnacentral:sRNA from 1 species